rnacentral:rRNA from 1 species
UACGGAGGGUGCAAGCGUUAAUCGGAAUUACUGGGCGUAAAGGGCGCGUAGGCGGCUUGACAAGUCAAAGGUGAAAUCCCUCGGCUCAACUGAGGAACUGCCUUUGAAACUGUCUGGCUUGAGGCCGGGAGGGGGUAGCGGAAUUCCCAGUGUAGCGGUGAAAUGCGUAGAUAUUGGGAGGAACACCAGUGGCGAAGGCGGCUACCUGGACCGGUUCUGACGCUGAUGCGCGAAAGCGUGGGUAGCAAACAGG